GCAGUUUGAUCUCAGACUGCUGUGCUAGCAAUCAGCGAGACUCCGUGGGCGUAGGACCCUCCGAGCCAGGUGCGGGAUAAAAUCUCGUGGUGCGCCGUUUUUUAAGACCGUCGGAAAAGCGCAGUAUUCGGGUGGGAGUGACCCGAUUUUCCAGGUAGAGACACUUUUGACUUGAUCUCUGCAGUCCUCAACAUGGUCGAAGUCUGAAAUCAAGUGUGAGCAGGGCCAAUGGGCCCAUUCUGAAGACCCAAAGGAGAGUCCCCCUUUCCCUCUUCCAGCGUCUGGCAGUCCUAGGCCUUCUUUGGUUGACGGCAGCCUCACUUCCAUCUGUGCCUGUGACUCACAUAGCCCUCUUCUCUGUGUCUCUGACUUUCUCUUCUCUUAAAAGAACACCUCGGCUGGGUGUGGUGGCACACGCCUGUAAUCCCAGCACUUUGGGAGCCCCAGGCAGGUGAUCUGCCUGCCUCGGCCUCCCAAAGUGCUAGGAUUAUAGGCAUGAGCCACAGCAUAGGGCCCAGUUUCAAUCUUUAACCAAUGAAAACCUGAACACAAAACAAUAAUUCUUAACCAAUCAUGAUGAAACGCAGUAACUUUUUUUUUUAAUAAAAGGAAGGAGAAAGUGUUGAAAAUUGACAUCUAUGUUUACAUAUCACAGCAACACAAAGUGCCAGCAAAAAAAAAAAAAAGUGGAAAAAUGAAAGUAUCUUGGCCCCAUGAGUUUUGCUCUGCUUCCCACUGUCAUUUAUUCAGUACAUGUGUCACUAGAGCCAGGACUUGCUCUAGAAGUUGGAGGAAGUCAAUGGCACUGUGAGAAACGUGAAUUACCAAGGGACUCUGUCAUGUCCUUCGUUACUCAUGUGACUUCCUUACAUGAAAGGAAAAUAAAUCCUGGGGCCUCCAUAUCACUCAGCUAAAGGGAAAAGUCAAGCUGGAUCUGCUUAGGGCAAACCUGCCUCCCAUUGUAUUCAAAGUCAUCCCACUCUUCACUGAGAUAAAUGCAUAUCUGACGGCCUCCUUUGGAAAGGCUCAUCAGAAACUCAGAAGAAUGCAACCAUUUGUCUCUUAUCUACCUAUGACCUGGAAUUUCAGUAUUAAACCAAUGUUUAUCUUGCAUAUAUUGAUUGAUGUCUCAUGUCUCUGUAGAGACUACAUGAAAAUUUUGUUGUUGAAAUAAUUCGUUGUACUGAGCUUCACUUGAAAUGCUUAAAUACCUUGAAAACAUUUCCAUUUUUGCCUUUACUCAAAUCAGGUGGUGGCUACUUUCUAAUGAAUGCAAAUCCCAGUAUGUGAAAAGUGUGGGUUAGGACAAUAAAAGGGGAGGUGACACCAUUUUAAUGGUUUCUCAGAAGCUGUGCUCCGAUGACCUUGGGCACAUGUCAUCAGUACCUCCUGAGGUUAUGUCACAGGUGCAUGUCCUUAACUUUGGCAAAAUAAACUUCCUAAAUUAACUGAGAUCUGUCUCAGAUAUUCAGGCUUCACAGCUAUGCCAGCUAACCCCUUAUGCUGAAAACGAGGACUUAAAAGGAAAGGGCAAGAGAGCCAGACUUGCUUUUUCCUUUUUUUUUUUUUUUUAAAGUCUUUCCUUAUUCAUCAGUAAGCCAAAAGUAGAGGUUGUUAGUAGAAAAUGUGUGCACCAAGAAGUGAAAUAAAGA
rnacentral:lncRNA from 1 species